rnacentral:rRNA from 1 species
UGCAAGUCGUACGAGAGUUUUUAACUCUAGUGGCGGACGGGUGAGUAACACGUGAGAAUUUACCUUUAGGAGGGGGAUAACAGCGUAUCAAUAGAUAUUACGGAAACGGCUGCUAAUACCCCAUAUGCUUUUGAGUGAAAUAGAUUUAUCUGCCUAAAGAGAAGCUCGCGGCUGAUUAGCUUGUUGGUAAGGUAAUGGCUUACCAAGGCGACGAUCAGUAUCUGGUUUGAGAGGACGAUCAGACACACUGGAACUGAGACACGGUCCAGACUCCUACGGGAGGCAGCAGUGGGGAAUUUUCCGCAAUGGGCGAAAGCCUGACGGAGCAAUACCGCGUGAGGGAAGACGGCCUAUGGGUUGUAAACCUCUUUUUUCAGGGAGGAAUUUCAAUGACGUGUACCUGAGGAAUAAGCAUCGGCUAACUCCGUGCCAGCAGCCCGCGGUAAUACG